UUUCCCUUCCCUGUUUUCCUUUCCAUCUAUUUUCACCCUAAACAAACACAGUGUGAAUGUUCCUCAUUGAUAUCCAAACCCUAAAUCUCUUCUUUCCAGCGAUCAAUGGAGACUCCCUUCAAUCAGUCUUUUCGAGCGACGCCCCUCAAAGAAUGGUGAAUGGUUCAUGCUCAUAGUGCUCUAAAACUAACAUCAAGUAGAUUCUUCUACAACCCUAGGGGAGUUCUCGGUUUACUCACUGCUAUUGGUGGUUGUGUCUGUCAUUCAGGAUUUUGUUCAAUGACACAAAUCAAUUCUGAAGUGGGUUCUAGUUUAUGUAGUAUUCUUGCCCCAAAUGGGGAACCCUGCAUCACAGAUUCCUCAUCAGUAGUUGAGAACCCUACCACUUCGUCGGUGAGCGUGCGGUCUACCCCUGAAAUUGAAAAGAAGUUUGUUCAUCAUGUUUAUGAUGCUAUUGCGCCGCAUUUCAGUUCCACUCGGUUUGCCAAGUGGCCAAAGGUUGCCUCUUUUUUGUCAUCUUUGCCUUCAGGAUCUCUUGUCCUGGAUGCGGGAUGCGGGAAUGGGAAGUACUUGGGUUUAAAUCAAGAUUGUUUUUUUAUUGGAUGUGAUAUAAGUCCUUCGUUGAUUAAAAUAUGCUCAGAUAGAGGACAUGAAGUUAUGGUUGCAGAUGCAGUGAAUCUUCCUUACAGAACUGGUUUUGGUGAUGCGGCAAUAUCUAUAGCUGUGUUACAUCAUUUGAGCACUGAGAAUCGAAGGAGAAAAGCAAUAGAAGAGUUAGUCCGAGUUGUUAAAAAGGGUGGCCUUGUUCUUAUUACAGUUUGGGCUGUAGAACAAGAGGAUAAAUUGCUGGUCACCAAAUGGACUCCGCUUGCAGAAAAAAAUCUUGAAGAGUGGCCAGAACCUGGAAAUCAUUGUGCUCGGGUUCCUUCAUUUUCAUCAUUGGAAAGUAUUCCAGAAAGUGAGGAGAGUAGCUCGGUUGAGCACGUUAAAGUUUGCAAUGAGUCAAAAUCAUCAAGUGAUUUGAAUGAAGAAAAAAAAUUGAAGAAUCAACAGGAGUAUUUUGUUCCUUGGCAUUUACCUUAUCAUCGUGCAGAAAUCAGUGGUUCUUCUGCAGAUGCUCUUGCUACUGGUCUUGCAACUAAAGAUGACAAAAAGGGGGCUGUAGUGUACAAUAGAUAUUAUCAUGUUUUUAGUCAAGGCGAGCUUGAAAGUUUGGCAAAUGGAAUAAACAAUGCAAGAGUUGUUGAUCAGUUUUUUGAUAAAUCCAACUGGUGUAUUAUUCUAGAGAAGACAUGAUAUGAUGGCCAAGAAAGAAACCUAGCUGAUAUUUGGGGGGGGGGAACUUGUCUGCUUCCUUUUUAAGACAUCUGUCCAACUAGUCAACCUCGAGUGGGUAUAGAAUUACUGCAACCUUUAUAGCAUUUUCCUGCAACUAAUCUUCAUUUGGCUUCUAACUUCUUGCUAUCAACAAAAAAAAAAAAAAUAGACAGCUACAGAACUUGGACAGUGAUGAUUCUCUAAGAAUUUCAUUAUCCAAAUCAGGCUGCCUUCUUCAAGCAUACCCAGGUUAUUGUGUUUAUUGUUCUUUCUUUUUGAUUUGCAAAAUCCAAUUUUGGUUAAAAGAAUGUAGAGCAGGAAGGACAUCACUGUUAUGUGUAUGAUGGUGUUGUUGCUGGGCACUGUUUCUGCCCAGACAAUGCUGAACAUCUUUUAGCCACUUUCACAACAGCAGUUACAUUGGUUUCAUGUACUGGACAGAUUAUUUGCUGAUGUGUCAAGAGAAAAGAUUUCUGGACGAUGGUUGUGAACAUUUGAACUUCGCACAGACAUGAGGCGGACGUUACCUCUAGUGGACGAUGGAUUUAGAGGAUAAUGAACGAUGAAGGAGUAAACUAUGUAUGUUCCUUCUUUCCUACUUAAGAAGUUAGUAUAAAGUUGUUCUUGAAUGUACAAUAGUAAUGGUGAUAGGCCCCAAAACCCUAGCGGAAGUAGAGUAUGGUAAUAACCUAGCCGUUUUGUAAUAAAUGCCCAAAAGUCCCUUUUUAAGGUACAAGUGUUCCCUUUUAUAGGGGAGUACAUAGAAACCCCAGGAAAUUAACUAACUGGGCUACUUGGGCCUCACUACUCUCGGCCUAGUAACCUUACACUCAUUUACCCGCCAUGUGGAGGUCAUUCCCUAUUCUUGAGUGCCCUUCACCGCUUGUCGCUCUUGCUCGCCUGUUGCUUGGGGGUUUGAGUCGCCCUUGGACGGCAAGGGGCGGACCCCUUUUAUGGUGAGGGGUCUGCCCAGUCAUACAAGUGUAGUAUCUACCCACAUCUGAUGGUAAUUAGAUUAAGACAACACACAAGAAAGGUAACAGGAUAUAGGCACUCACAGAUGUGUAUUCUCUGUAAAGCUUAGACAAUAUAUUUUCCAGAUAGGUAUUGUAAUUAUAGACACUAGAUGAGGUAUAGUACACACAAGUAGAUUCAGAUAAUAGCAAGUAACAACUAGAUUCACUUAAAUCUUUCUGAAAGAGUCCCUUACAGAAGACCGUCAUACCUAUUAAGUAGUCAAAAACAAUGCAAGGGUUUUGAAAAGAUAGUACCUGAUUACUUGACUCCUUAAUUGAGUACUGACUUUGCUUUGUGUGUUCAGCCCAUGUGCAUCAAGGUCUGGUCUUUUCAGUCUUGGUCUAGAAACCAGAGUUUGAUUCUUUCACAUUGAUUUUUGGCUUUCCUUUUCAUAUCUCCUAUGGAUAAUUCUUCAAAGAUUGAACUAGAGAUAAGAUUCUGAUGCUUGAGUCUCGGAUGAAUUGCUGGGAGAUCACUAAGAAUUUGUAGGAGUAUCAAUUUUGGUCUUUCCCAUUUGAGAGCAAUAUGAUCCCAGACUUUGUGACUCAGCUGCUUUCUUCCUCAUAUGAAUGUUGUUGAUGAGCAUAGGAAGGAGAGAGCUUUGAUGAGCAUAGGAAGGAGAGAGCUUUUACUUUGGCAUAGACUUGAUUUGUAGAUCCUCGUUUCAUUCAUAGUUCGCUAAUUUUACUGAUGUUCCACAAGCCACACUUAGUGGAUUCCACGAAGAACUACAGUUGAUAUUUCUAGUAUAUGCAUAUUUCGCUGCUGAGGAGAGAGAUUUGUUGUGUAUAGGUUGCUCAAGAUAGAUGAGUAGUUGUCAACCAUUUGAUCGUCUCUACAUCUGUUAAGAUGUCAACCCAGAGCAUUGCUCUGAUACCAAUUGAGAAAUAUCGCAGAGACCCAAGAGGAGGAGGUUAGAUUGUGUCUGUGUAAAUCUUAAUGGUUGAUCACUGAAAAUUUCUGUUUUUAAAAAUUUCUUGCAUCUUUGAGUUUGAUGGCAACAGAUGAUUGAUGAGCAAGUUGCUAGAAGGUAAAGAAUGAAAACACACAAAUUUUUAUCCUGGUUCACCCAGCAUGGGCUACGUUCAGUCCUUGGUCUUUGACCAAGAUUUUCUUUAUUAGCAGGACUUCUCAUUUUACAAGUAUUCAUAGGACUUCUCAUAAGUGUUCUUUAAUCCAGCCUCUCAAAGCUGUUGAGUAUUCUCAAGGACUCAUCCCAACCAAGUAUUAUAGGGACUCUUCCCAACUAAGUAUUCUAGGGACUUCUCCCAACCAAGUAUUCUAGGGACUUCUCUCAACUAAGUAUUUUUGUUCAAGCCUCUCUAGGCUUUUAAGUUUUUGAGGGGCUCCUCCCAACCAAGUAUUCUUUCUCAAGCCUCUUUAGGCUUUACACAAGUAUUAGGAGGACUUCUUCUCAUUUUACAAAUUGAAUGGGUGCUCAAUUGAAUGGUUUUAGAAGUCUUUUCCAAGAAUGAACUUCCAAAGAGCAAGCUAAUUUUUACAGGUUGAAUUUGCUUCUAGAAAGAGAAAUAACUCAAUGAGGUGGAGAUCUGAUAUGUGGCCCUCAUGUCCAAGAUUCGUUUGAGUGAGGGAACAUUACCAUUGUUGUGUGCAAGAAUUAAUGUGAACAUUAUCUUGAAUAUUGUUUUUAUCCUGUUGUGGAUGGAGAACAAGAAAACCUUGAUUUAUUUCUGUUUCGAAACCGAACUGUGUUUCAUUGAUAUAUGGUUUGUUAGGAUCAAAUUGUUCAUGUUCAAUUACAUCUAGCAACAUCCGGUUAACAACCUUGUGUGCUUAAUUUAUAUUCUUGAAUUUAAGUCCCACAGGAAACAUGGAUUUCUUGUGGCAAACAUCUAUUGUGUGGCCAUUUUAUCUGCAUAUGAGAAUUUAUUGGACACAAAUCUCGUGUGUUUA